GUUUGAUCCGCAGGAUUGUCCUGUGCAGGGCCAGGACUUGUACUUCAAUGAUCCUUCUUGGUCCCUUGCAACUCAGGAUAUUCUAUGAUUCCAUGAAAAUGUUUUAUUUGGAGACAAUAGAUGGCACUCUGUAGCUACCCUGGAAAAAGGAAGAGUCGGACAUCCAGUGUUUCUGAAUUGCAUGUUUCUGCCUCCAGCUUUAACUACUUAUCCCAUUUGCAAUUUCUUCUGUGAUAAACAGGGCUGAAGGAGGUGCAUGAUUUACAUGUCAAAAAUCAAAAUAAAUCCUGAAAACUGCAUCUCUGUUCCACUUGCUAUACCCAACACAGGCAACUCUACACUAGAAAGAGAGAAAAGGAAAAGAAAUACAAAAGGAGGGUGUUUAAGCACUGAGUCUGGUUGUCUGGAAUUUGUGCCAUCUCCACAUCUGGUGAUAGUCACAGCCUCACUGGGCAAGACCCUCAGCAAUCUGAUCUACCUUGAAAUUGGCCCUGUUUUGAGGAAGAUAGCUGGAUGAUGAGGACUUAAUUUAUAAAAUUAUCUUCCAGAUGACAGCCCUUAAGUCAUAUGUACCUUUACCGUAGGAAUUUCAUUUUUCAGUCUAAUUUUCAAUGAAUAAUUACCAUAGUUGUCUUGCAUAUUUUAAAUAAAGACUAAAAAUCUUAGAUCUUAGAUCUAGAUAAGAAAGAAAAUAAUUCUGAGAAAACCAUUUCAGGCUCCACUGGAUUAUUUUACACAUCUACCACUUCAUUUUCUCACUGUACCACAGUACAGUAACAGAAACCAAAAUACAAUAAGAUGACAUCUUUCCUCUGUGGAAACUUUGUAUUCUCACUUUUAUCACAAGAAAGAAAUGCUUUGAAAUAUGACCUGAGAGCAGCCAAUGACAAGUUAUUACCCUUGCCUACUAAAGAUUUUGAACAGUUCCACAUUUCUAUGUGGGAAGGGAGAAACAAAUAUGACAUUUUAUGUAAACUAUGCCAGUCAAUGCAAACAAAAUCUGUAUUUCUGUGUUAAAUACCAGCAUUUCUAAUAUUGUAAAGUUGUAAGAAUAUUAACUGUGGUUGUGAAUUAUUCACAUUUUACCCAAUUAUUUUAGUUAAAAUUGAGUCAGCCAUGUACCCAGAGCUAUGCUUCUACAUUCAUAUACACAGAUAUACACCAGCACAGGAUUAAUAUUCUCUAUCAGUGCUUCUUCAUCCUUGGUUUUGGACACUGCUUUGUCAAAACAAACUCACUCAUACAUUAAAAAAACAGAGUAAGACUUCACUGGGUAUUUCCAUGAUUAGUGGGAACCAUUUUACAGCUAACACCAGUAAAUAUUAACACUAGUCAAGUGAGAUGAAUUGAAGAAAUUGUAUACAACAUAUCACCAUGACAGGUAUGCUCAUCUCCAUGAAAACCAAACCUUUCAGUGUAAGUAUCAAGAAAGGAUCAGCACUAAUUUGAAACUAUUUAUUGCUUUAUCUCACAGACUGAAACACUGUGGUAUGCAAAAUCACAUCUAGUGAACAGCUAUGUGUAUGUGGGUAGUUCAGUGGUAUCUGAGAGCUCUACAGGCAGCUUCAACAGAGAAUCAUCUUACCCUUCCA